AUGUCUCCUCGUCUUCCGACGAUUACGUCGUAUUUUUCUAACUAAUGUGUCGGGCCCAGCGUGCGUGGAUCUUUCGAAUCACACUUGCCGAAAUGAAUCGAAUGCAAGAUGAUUUGAAAAACACGAAAAAAUAAAAGACACGCUCUGUGCAAUGAAACGCACGGAAAAGAAAAGGGUGCCUGCCAAGAGCGCCCCGCAGCGGCCUAAAUGGAACGCGCCCCGCUCGGUGCGGCAGAGAGGACCAGGUGCGUGCCGGGCGUGGCCGGUUGCUGGAUGCUAUAAAGCCAACGCCCGCCAUUGUUACGAAAAACACAGUGCCGCACGCUAUUCUCCAUAACAUACUCGUAUGAGUACGUAUUCUUUAUUAAUUUAUUUGGUUAUUAAAUAUUUAUUUCCUUCGUCUUAUUUUGAAGUCCCUUCGUACCGUAAAGACGCGCGCGGCGAGUAACGCGCUGCUGCGGCUUUGACCUCCCAAAUGUCGACCAUCGGCGAGAUGGAUGCGAUAUUCAACAUACUGCAGCAGUUCAGGCUGGAAUCCUCCCACAGCCAGUUCGUGCUGUUGGGCGUGAAGGAUGUAGAAGAUUUCCUGGAUUGCAUAACGGAUAAAGAUCUGGACAACAUCGGUUUAACUCAUGUGGAGAAGAAUCGUUUUUCGUCCAUGAAAAACUUCAUUCAAAGACUAAAGACUAUGGAGCCACAAGUUCAACCGGUGAUGCCUGUGCAAAGGUGGUGGUUUACUCUGCAGUACACAUACCCCAAAUGUCCUCAGCCUGUGCACAUUAAAGAUAUGGAUCCGGCCAUAAACACGGUUGAGGAUCUGAUGUUGACGAUUUGCCAUCUUGAAAGUGUUGGUAACUCCAAAGGAGUCUGUCUCUACGCAGUCGAUGGGAUGCCCCUAACCGAUGAUCCCUUCUUCAACACGUGGUCUCUAAAAGACAGACAUAUUGAAAAUGGAGCCGUAAUUUACGCCAUAUUUACGCCAAAGGAAAACGUGAAACGGGCUCCUCAGAUACCGAAACGAGAGGUUGGAGAACCCAACGGUGACGAUGUGGUUCGGUGCCACGUCAUGCUCAAGGGAGACUUUGAGGUGACUGUAAACUUGGCAAGUGACACCAUCACCAGUCUGAGACUCAAGCUGGCAAACCAAAGUGGAGUCCCAACACAUGUCCUUCACUACAAAGGUCAACACUGUGGCGGUGACACGCUGCAGCACUGUGGGAUCUCUGAAGGGUCAACGGUGAACUUCUCCUUGUCCACCUUUUCUGACGAGACUUCACACGAUGAGACGUUCUUCAUUAACGAUUGUGUGCCGUCAGUCCAGCAAACCCAGAAGGGAAUCAGUGUGUUCCUGUCCUCACUUUAUGCGAUGAGAAAACAUUAUGCAACAGAGCAACUGAAGAAACUGAUUUCCUACAUAAGAAAACUGACUGGAUGCAACCCUCUCGCCCAAAGUUUGCAUCAGUUACUCUGUAGGAAUGAAAAGUUAACCAGGAAUCAGAAGAUUGCAGUCUUUGAGGGCUUGUACGUCCUCUUUCGAGAGCUUCUGCCUCAGCGUGCAGCACAACGGGGGGGAGAAGAUCAUUGA
ensembl:lncRNA